GAGGAGAGGAGAGGAGAGGAGAGGAGGAGAUGCCACAAGUAACCCCAAUAACAGCUUCAUUUAUACAAACAAACACACGGGGGAGCAUUUGAAGUAGUAACACAAAAGUCACCCCAUCAUAGCCUAGCCGCCACCCAUUUUAUUACAACAAAGGUAGUUUAGGUAGCUUCAACUACAUAACAAGAGAACCCAAAAAGACACACAGAGACGCACCUGAGCUAGUGUAAUUAGAGCAUAUAGAAAGAAGUAUUAGCUUAAUUAGUCGUCUACUACUGGGGGUACUUAUUUUUUAGCAUAUGACAGAGAGAAAGAGAGAACUCUCAUUAUAUUAUAUAUGUAAUGUAAUGUAAUGGAGUAUCUCUGUUUUUUCGAUAAAUCUCAUUUGCAGGUGCACGGGUCACAGGUGCAGUUGGAUCCGCACUUGCAUCCUCCGUUCUCUGCUGCCACCACCGUCUCUGAUCCCUCAAAGCUUCUGCAAUUAUUCCAAAUUAUUAUUAUUUUUUUUACAAAACAAAUUUCAUAUAACAAGACUGAAGGGAGCAGCAGCUACACAUACGGCUUCUGGGGUGCAACACCAAACACCAGAGUUUCGCUUGUGGUGCUCUCGGAGUAGCUCACGUCAGGGUACAUCUUGCACCUGCAUAAUUAACCAUCACUCGUUUCUUAUGCCAUCACACCAAGAUGAAAUCCCAUAACGUUUUCAAGUUCAUAAUUCAUCAUCAUCCCACUAACACUGUCAUUUUAUUUUUAGAUAAACACAUACAUCCUCAAUUAAAAGAUGAAAUCUUUGUACUAAAACUAACUUACAAAUUUAACCCUUUAAUUCUCAAAUCAGUAGCAUAAAAUAUUCAUUUAGUAAUAUACAAAAUCAGCAUAAUUAAUUUUCAAAGAAUAAAAUAUCAUCUGCCACCGCCUAGACAUCAGGAAAGCCCUAUUCUUUCUUCCAUCAACAACAAUCAUUUAUAAAUAAUUAAAAGAAAUUUUUUAAACAAUACAUAUAUAUAUAGAGAGAGAGAGAUAGGGAGAAUGAAAGAGGGUUGAUACCCGGUACAGCCAUUGCCACACUUGCAGGCAGAUCCGCAGCCACAAUUUCCUCCACAGCAAGACA
rnacentral:lncRNA from 1 species